rnacentral:lncRNA from 11 species
AUGUGGGAGGUUCUGACGCGUCCCCCCCCCCCCCGCCCUCAACCAAACAAGACAGGGCGCGGAGCCAAUGGAGAGGGGCGUUCUGCGCUCCAAGCCACGCCCACACCGCCCCCUCCUCGCGCUCGGGGAGACCCGGAGCGGACAGGUCUCCUCUCCAGAUGCCCAAGCGGCGCGCGCCAAGCCUGAGGCGGCUGCUUCAAGCAGAACCCGCGAAGGACGGGUUCCUAUUGGAGGCGCCCUCCGACCAGACUUUCAGGAACCUUAUCACAUGCCCACCACACCGAUGCUGUUUCACCAGAAAGCAUUGCAAAACUGCAGCUGCACCAGGCGACUCCAGCACCCUGCGCGCUGA